CCGCUUAUUUCAGCAGCACAUAUACUAAAAUUAGAAUGAUACAGAGAAGAUUAGCGUGGUCCCUGCACAGGGACGACAUACACAUUUUUGAAAACAUUAGAAGAGAA
ensembl:snRNA U6 U6 spliceosomal RNA